AGAAGCGUGCCCGAAUCACAAGGGCUAUUUUGAUAAAAUAGACACAGAGACUAAAAUCUCUCACUUCUUUAUUACUUA
rnacentral:tRNA from 1 species